rnacentral:rRNA from 1 species
GAUGAACGCUGGCGGCGUGCCUAAUACAUGCAAGUCGAGCGAACAGACGAGGAGCUUGCUCCUCUGACGUUAGCGGCGGACGGGUGAGUAACACGUGGAUAACCUACCUAUAAGACUGGGAUAACUUCGGGAAACCGGAGCUAAUACCGGAUAAUAUAUUGAACCGCAUGGUUCAAUAGUGAAAGACGGUUUUGCUGUCACUUAUAGAUGGAUCCGCGCCGCAUUAGCUAGUUGGUAAGGUAACGGCUUACCAAGGCAACGAUGCGUAGCCGACCUGAGAGGGUGAUCGGCCACACUGGAACUGAGACACGGUCCAGACUCCUACGGGAGGCAGCAGUAGGGAAUCUUCCGCAAUGGGCGAAAGCCUGACGGAGCAACGCCGCGUGAAUGAUGAAGGUCUUCGGAUCGUAAAACUCUGUUAUUAGGGAAGAACAAAUGUGUAAGUAACUAUGCACGUCUUGACGGGACCUAAUCAGAAAGCCACGGCUAACUACG